AAGUCGUAACAAGGUUUCCGUAGGUGAACAUCUCUUCCAGGUUCGCCAGAAUUAGAAAGUCUGUAUUAGCAGGCAACAUCUCCACUGUGCUGGGAUUUACAUUUGUAAUACCAGCAGCCUCGCAAUAAGGGGCUCACAGGUCAAAUGGAGGUGGCCCCUAGUGCAGGGUUAAGAUAUGAUCGGGAGGCUGCGAGAAAUUGCCGCUAUAUUUCCGCUGCGGAAGGAUCAUUACAGAGAAAUUGCCCUUUGGGGUAGAUCUCCCCCACCCUUUGUUUACAUUACCUUUGUUGCUUUGGCAGA
rnacentral:misc_RNA from 1 species